CGGCUUUGGUGUUUGCUGGCUGAGGAAGAGGCCCACUCUUUUCUCCAGUCUUGGUAUGUGAAUUUCUCUGUCUUCAAGUAAUUCCUUAGCAUACCCUUGAAUGGCAUCUACCACACUAGCUAACUUUUUCAACCCACAAGGCUGAAACAACUUCCUUUAACUGAAAUGACCCCAGCACAGCUAUUCACCAGAAGACACCCUCCUUGAUUUCUUGGUGGGCCUGUAAGAUGACUGAAGUUGUAGAACAGCAAAGACUUGGAACAGACAUUGAGGUCCUAUCGCUUCUGUUGGAAACUUCUGUUGACUGCAGUGUGAGUUGGAUGGGACCCAGAGAAACCAAAUACAGACAAGUGACGAUGAGCUGGCCAUACAAGCAAGGAAAAUCACAGAUAACAGAUCUGGUGUAGAGCUGAUCACCCUUAGUGUCUUGUCACCAAAAGCCCUUCCUGACGUGUCCAGGGGAAAUCUGCAAGCAUUCUGAACAGGCACACAGGAAUGUUUCAGCUACCUGCAGCCUCAUCCGAUGAUGGUUAAUCAUCUCACCUAGCUUGAUCUUCUGUGCACCAGCAGGGACUUCUUUAAAUUGGUCAACUGUAUAGAACAUUGUUUUCAAGCUUAAUGUGCUUGUAAUUAACCUUAUAAAAUAAUGGCCUAACUAAAGGCAGG